rnacentral:lncRNA from 1 species
UUUUUUUUUUGUUUUUUUUUUUGUGUUUUUUUUUUUGUUUUUUUUUUUGGUUUUUUUCUCUUGGUCUGACAGUAUCUUCAGUUCUCCAUGGAUUUUUGCCACUUGAUCUUAUGGCCUACUACGUGAUCAUACCAUUUAACCAAACUGCUAAGCUUCAUUUGCUAAGGUAAUUAAUUCACUUUAAAUAUCUUACUCUACUUUGUGAAGGCACUGUUGUAAAAACAUGAUAUUCAGGACCUCAGCAGUAAGAAAGAAUCUGGGAGAAAAUUAAAUUAUUUUUCCCUCCUAUUGGCCAACAACCACCCUUUUAACCCCCAAGAAUAAAUAUGUCAUUAUCUGAAAAAUAGAGGCCCUUUAUUUUAAAAUACCAAGUGUUGUUCAACGUUUUAAACCUAGGUCCAGUUUGAAAAACAUGAAUUAAUUUACCACCAAUUUGUUUGAUAAUAUGUUUCUAGAUACUGCUUGUCUAUAACAAAGAUGAUAAGAAGUAACCUUUUUUUUCCAUAGCAGUAACCACAAAUGCUUAAAAGUUCUGAAAGAUAAAAAAAACUGGAGACCUUGGGCUAGUUUUAUAUUUCUGGAAGUUCAAUAGAUAAAGCAUCAUGAAUCCUUUUGUGAGACUAGAACAGUAUCAAUAGCAGAACAGUAGUUCUGAUGAUCUAAUUCAAAAGCCAAGAAGUCAUUUGCUUAGUGAUUGUGGUUGAUCAGAUAAAGCUUUCAAAAUAUGUAGCUCAUAAGAAAAAUAACAAAUGAGGCACUUGACAAUGUAGUAUUUGUAUGUACUGUCCUGAGGUAUUCACAAGGCUCAGAAAUUUACAAUAUAAUAUAAAUGUAUAAGGUAGCAAAGACAAACACAUAUAAGGAAAUACAGAUUUGAGUGCUGAUUUGUAUAGUAUAAGUUUGUAUUCAAGUGAAGAAAAAGCUUGUGAUAGGUAGAGCUUAGCAAAGAUUGUCUUACCCAGGAUACUUUUAAUGUUUUAAGAGUAUAAGAAAUGGUUUGGUGGAAAGUAGAAGGGGAGAAAGAGCACACAUUUUGGUGUGCAAAAUGGAGAUCCAGAGAAAGAGAAAGGAAGGUUUAGGGAAAUACGGAAGCAGCCUGAAUGAAGGAGGGAAUUACCCAAGCACCCUGGGCAACAUGGCGAGAUGUUGUCUCUAAACAAAAAUAAAAAAAUCAGCUAGGUGUGGUAGCACAUGCCUGUGAUCCCAGCUACUCGGGAGACUGAGGUGGGAGGACUGCUUGAGCCCAGGAGGCCAAAGCUGCAGUGAGCUAUGAUCAUGACACUGCACUCCAGUCUGAGUGACAGAGGAGAUCCUGACUCAAAAAAUUCAUCAUGGUAGCCAUGGCGGUAAUGGAGAAGAAAAGAUACUGUUCAGGCAGGCUAAAUACAACUAACUCAUUGUUUUAAAUUUAAGGAGUUUAAUCUUAAUUCAUGCACAAUACAAAGUCAUUAUAGACACUUCAGAAGAUUAACUGAAAGAGGAAAAAA